GACGAACGCUGGCGGCGUGCUUAACACAUGCAAGUCGAACGGAAAGGCCCUGCUUUUGUGGGGUGCUCGAGUGGCGAACGGGUGAGUAACACGUGAGUAACCUGCCCUUGACUUUGGGAUAACUUCAGGAAACUGGGGCUAAUACCGGAUAGGAGCUCCUGCUGCAUGGUGGUGGUUGGAAAGUUUCGGCGGUUGGGGAUGGACUCGCGGCUUAUCAGCUUGUUGGUGGGGUAGUGGCUUACCAAGGCUUUGACGGGUAGCCGGCCUGAGAGGGUGACCGGGCACAGUGGGACUGAGAUACGGCCCAGACUCCUACGGGAGGCAGCAGUGGGGAAUAUUGCACAAUGGGCGGAAGCCUGAUGCAGCAACGCCGCGUGCGGGAUGACGGCCUUCGGGUUGUAAACCGCUUUCGCCUGUGACGAAGCGUGAGUGACGGUAAUGGGUAAAGAAGCACCGGCUAACUACGUG
rnacentral:rRNA from 1 species